AUUUUUUUCUACAUGCAUUCAUAAGUAUGAUAAUAAGAUCCUUAAAAAGAUCUGAUGUAUUGUAGCAAGACAAAAUGUUUGCUAAUAUGAGACAGAAUUAACUCUGACCUUACUGCAGGAGGAAACAUCAUAUCAUAUUAAAUUUUUGUUUUUCUUCCUGCAUUGCAGUGGUUACAUAGUCUGCUUCACUGAUGAUCAGAUUACUGGGAAGAGAAGUACUUCUUUAUCAAGAAGGAGCAUGUGUCCAUGGGUCCCCCAGCUGCAUUAGUCAUGGAACCGGGCCAAACCAGCCCAUAA
rnacentral:lncRNA from 1 species